rnacentral:rRNA from 1 species
UACAGAGGGGGCAAGCGUUGUUCGGAAUUACUGGGCGUAAAGGGCGCGUAGGCGGCCUUCUAAGUCGAACGUGAAAUCCCCGGGCUCAACCCGGGAACUGCGUCCGAGACUGAAAGGCUCGAAUCCGGGAGAGGGAUGUGGAAUUCCAGGUGUAGCGGUGAAAUGCGUAGAUAUCUGGAGGAACAUCGGUAGCGAAGGCGGCAUCCUGGACCGGUAUUGACGCUGAGGCGCGAAAGCCAGGGGAGCAAACGGG